GGCCCGUUGGUCAAGUGGUUAAGACACCGCCCUUUCACGGCGGUAACACGAGUUCGAAUCUCGUACGGGUCA
rfam:Lysinibacillus manganicus DSM 26584 contig30, whole genome shotgun sequence.